UGUGGCCAAGUUUUUAAGGGCGCACGGUGGAUGCCUUGGCACCAGGAACCGAUGAAGGACGUGGGAGGCCACGAUAGGCCCCGGGGAGCUGUCAACCAAGCUUUGAUCCGGGGGUGUCCGAAUGGGGAAACCCGGCAGUCGUCAUGGGCUGUCACCCGCUGCUGAACACAUAGGCAGUGUGGAGGGAACGCGGGGAAGUGAAACAUCUCAGUACCCGCAGGAAGAGAAAACAACCGUGAUUCCGGGAGUAGUGGCGAGCGAAACCGGAUGAGGCCAAACCAGUCACGUGUGAUACCCGGCAGGGGUUGCGUGGUUGGGGUUGUGGGAUCUCUCUUCUGUUGUCUGCCGGCAACAGGACGAGUCAGAAACCGUUGAUGUAGGCGAAGGACAUGCGAAAGGUCCGGCGUAGAGGGUAAGACCCCCGUAGCUGAAACAUUAGCGGCUCGUUUGAGAGACACCCAAGUAGCACGGGGCCCGAGAAAUCCCGUGUGAAUCUGGCGGGACCACCCGUUAAGCCUAAAUAUUCCCUGGUGACCGAUAGCGGAUAGUACCGUGAGGGAAUGGUGAAAAGUACCGCGGGAGCGGAGUGAAAUAGUACCUGAAACCGUGUGCCUACAAGCCGUGGGAGCGUCGCUGUAUGUGCUUGCACAUGCAGUCGUGACUGCGUGCCUUUUGAAGAAUGAGCCUGCGAGUUUGCGGUAUGUUGCGAGGUUAACCCGUGUGGGGAAGCCGUAGCGAAAGCGAGUCCGAAUAGGGCGUUGAGUAGCGUGCCCAAGACCCGAAGCGGAGUGAUCUAGCCAUGGGCAGGUUGAAGCGGAGGUAAGACUUCGUGGAGGACCGAACCCACCAGGGUUGAAAACCUGGGGGAUGACCUGUGGUUAGGGGUGAAAGGCCAAUCAAACUCCGUGAUAGCUGGUUCUCCCCGAAAUGCAUUUAGGUGCAGCGUCGUGUGUUUCUUGCCGGAGGUAGAGCACUGGAUAGGCGAUGGGCCCUACCGGGUUACUGACCUUAGCCAAACUCCGAAUGCCGGUAAGUGAGAGCGCGGCAGUGAGACUGUGGGGGAUAAGCUCCAUGGUCGAGAGGGAAACAGCCCAGAGCAUCGACUAAGGCCCCUAAGCGUGUGCUAAGUGGGAAAGGAUGUGGAGUCGCAGAGACAACCAGGAGGUUGGCUUAGAAGCAGCCACCCUUGAAAGAGUGCGUAAUAGCUCACUGGUCAAGUGAUUCCGCGCCGACAAUGUAGCGGGGCUCAAGCACACCGCCGAAGUCGUGUCAUUGCAGUAAUACUCCCAACGGAGGCUGUGAUGGGUAGGGGAGCGUCGUGUGCCGGGUGAAGCAGCCGUGGAAACGAGUUGUGGACGGUUCACGAGUGAGAAUGCAGGCAUGAGUAGCGAUACACACGUGGGAAACGUGUGCGCCGAUUGACUAAGGGUUCCUGGGUCAAGCUGAUCUGCCCAGGGUAAGUCGGGACCUAAGGCGAGGCCGACAGGCGUAGUCGAUGGACAACCGGUUGAUAUUCCGGUACCCGCUUUGAAACGCCCAGUAUCGAAUCCAUUAAUGCUAAGGCCGUGAAGCCGGCCUGGAGUCUUCGGACGAAGGGACGUGGUGGAGCCGCCGAUCCAAGGUGGUAGUAGGUAAGCGAUGGGGUGACGCAGGAAGGUAGUCCAGCCCGGGCGGUGGUUGUCCCGGGGUAAGGGUGUAGGCCGUGUGGUAGGUAAAUCCGUCACACGUUAAGGCUGAGACCUGAUGCCGAGCCGAUUGUGGUGAAGUGGAUGAUCCUAUGCUGUCGAGAAAAGCCUCUAGCGAGUUUCAUGGCGGCCCGUACCCUAAACCGACUCAGGUGGUCAGGUAGAGAAUACCGAGGCGUUCGGUGAACUAUGGUUAAGGAACUCGGCAAAAUGCCCCCGUAACUUCGGGAGAAGGGGGGCCAUUUCCGGUGAUGAGACUUGCUCUCUGAGCUGGGGGUGGCCGCAGAGACCAGCGAGAAGCGACUGUUUACUAAAACACAGGUCCGUGCGAGCCGUAAGGCGAUGUAUACGGACUGACGCCUGCCCGGUGCUGGAACGUUAAGGGGACCGGUUAGUCGACCUUCGGGUCGGCGAAGCUGAGAACUUAAGCGCCAGUAAACGGCGGUGGUAACUAUAACCAUCCUAAGGUAGCGAAAUUCCUUGUCGGGUAAGUUCCGACCUGCACGAAUGGCGUAACGACUUCUCGACUGUCUCAACCAUAGGCCCGGUGAAAUUGCAUUACGAGUAAAGAUGCUCGUUUCGCGCAGCAGGACGGAAAGACCCCGGGACCUUUACUAUAGCUUGAUAUUGGUGUUCGGUUCGGCUUGUGUAGGAUAGGUGGGAGACUUUGAAGCGGCCACGCCAGUGGUUGUGGAGUCAUUGUUGAAAUACCACUCUGGUCGUGCUGGAUGUCUAACCUGGGUCCGUGAUCCGGAUCAGGGACAGUGUCUGGUGGGUAGUUUAACUGGGGCGGUUGCCUCCUAAAGAGUAACGGAGGCGCCCAAAGGUUCCCUCAGCCUGGUUGGCAAUCAGGUGUUGAGUGUAAGUGCACAAGGGAGCUUGACUGUGAGACUGACGGGUCGAGCA
rnacentral:rRNA from 1 species